AGUUCAGUUAUAGGCUUACAAAAUGUAAAGGACGCCUCUUGUGCAUGAUGGAAAAGUACUGAGACACUGUUUAUAUGAAGCUGUCUGUACACACCUAACUUCAGAGAGUUUUACCACUAUUCAUGAUUCAGCCUUUGAUGUGAAUGCUCCAUAAAGGAACCAGGUUUAAGAUACCAAACAUUCAAAGCAAAGGCUGGAUGAAACUCACUAUUGCCUGACACUGUCGAUCUCCAUGGCUCCAGCAAGGAGGCUGAUGAAGGCAAUUCACCAGGAAGGGUGCUCGAAUGGAUAAGUCUGGAUCAUCAUUACCUUGCAAGUUUAUUACCACUUCAACCCAUCCAUCAUACGAUACUUCAUUUCCUGUGAUGUCAAGGUCUUUGUCGAUGCGUUCACUGAGGGAUCUAACAUCUUGCCCAGAUGUAUCACGAUUAACCUGCAAAAACGCAACCAGUCAAGUGGACAAGAAAUGUGAGGUUCUGCCAAGCAUUCUUCUGCAUGCAUAUUUUGAGAAUAAUCACAAAGGAUUCUUAUUGAAUAUCACUCAUAUUAAAUUUAAAAAUUUCAGUGAUUAAGUCAUCUCCUAACAGCAACCUCUCAUCUGAACAUUUGUUUUGUAUUAAAUAGUUCUGUAUGUAUUGUAUGUUUAAAAAAAAAAAUCAAAUCAUGCAGUAAUAUGUCUUUCCAACAACGUAUUCACUGAAAGAUACAUUAGGUUUGCAUCUAAGGUCAGAACAAGGGAUGCAUCAGCCAUAUAUAAAAUGUAUCAAUAGAAUGUAGUAAUUAGGUAAAAUAUACCAGAUAUACAUAACUCACACACACACACCCACAUCACUGUACAAGUGUACGUGCAGCAACAUACAUGCACACACACAUACAACACAAAGAAAACACACACAUACAGAAACAUACACAAAAGCCCAC